rnacentral:rRNA from 1 species
UACGGAGGAUGCGAGCGUUAUCCGGAUUUAUUGGGUUUAAAGGGUGCGUAGGCGGGUUAUCAAGUCAGCGGUAAAAUCGUGGAGCUCAACUCCAUCCAGCCGUUGAAACGGAUGAUCUUGAGUGGGCGAGAAGUAUGCGGAAUGCGUGGUGUAGCGGUGAAAUGCAUAGAUAUCACGCAGAACUCCGAUUACGAAGGCAGCAUACCGGCGCCCGACUGACGCUGAAGCACGAAAGCGUGGGUAUCGAACAGG